AGUUUUUAAAAUAAACUCUGAAGCUACAUGAAGUUUGGAGGUGUGUAGUGAUGAACUCUGAAGCUACAUGAAGUUUGGAGGUGUGUAGUGAGUGAUGAACUCUGAAGCUACAUGAAGUUUGGAGGUGUGUAGUGAUGAACUCUGAAGCUACAUGAAGUUUGGAGGUGUGUAGUGAUGAACUCUGAAGCUACAUGAAGUUUGGAGGUGUGUAGUGAUGAUAAACUCUGAAGCUACAUGAAGUUUGGAGGUGUGUAGUGAUGAACUCUGAAGCUACAUGAAGUGUGGAGGUGUGUAAUGAUGAACUCUGAAGCUACAUGACGUUUGGAGGUGUGUAGUGAUGAACUCUGAAGCUACAUGAAGUUUGGAGGUGUGUAGUGAUGAACUUUGAAGCUACAUGAAGUUUGGAGGUGUGUAGUGAUGUAGUAACUCUGAAGCUACAUGAAGUUUGGAGGUGUGUAGUGAUGAACUCUGAAGCUACAUGAAGUUUGGAGGUGUGUAGUGAGUGAUGAACUCUGAAUCUACAUGAAGUUUGGAGGUGUGUAGUGAUGAACUCUGAAGCUACAUGAAGUUUGGAGGUGUGUAGUGAGUGAUGAACUCUGAAGCUACAUGAAGUUUGGAGGUGUGUAGUGAUGAACUCUGAAGCUACAUGAAGUUUGGAGGUGUGUAGUGAUGAACUCUGAAGCUACAUGAAGUUUGGAGGUGUGUAGUGAUGAACUCUGAAGCUACAUGAAGUUUGGAGGUGUGUAGUGAUGAACUCUGAAGCUACAUGAAGUUUGGAGGUGUGUAGUGAGUGAUGAACUCUGAAGCUACAUGAAGUUUGGAGGUGUGUAAUGAUGAACUCUGAAGCUACAUGAAGUUUGGAGGUGUGUAGUGAUGAACUCUGAAGCUACAUGAAGUUUGGAGGUGUGUAGUGAUGAACUCUGAAGCUACAUGAAGUUUGGAGGUGUGUAGUGAUGAACUCUGAAGCUACAUGAAGUUUGGAGGUGUGUAGUGAUGAACUCUGAAGCUACAUGAAGUUUGGAGGUGUGUAGUGAUGAACUCUGAAGCUACAUGAAGUUUGGAGGUGUGUAGUGAUGAACUCUGAAGCUACAUGAAGUUUGGAGGUGUGUAGUGAGUGAUGAACUCUGAAGCUACAUG